rnacentral:tRNA from 2 species
GGAGAGUUGUCCGAGAGGCCGAAGGAGCAGCAUUGGAAAUGCUGUAUACGGGUUAAAGUCUGUAUCAAGGGUUCGAAUCCCUUACUCUCCG